GACGAACGCUGGCGGCGUGCUUAACACAUGCAAGUCGUACGGAAAGGCCCUGCUUGCAGGGUACUCGAGUGGCGAACGGGUGAGUAACACGUGGGUGAUCUGCCCUGCACUUCGGGAUAAGCCUGGGAAACUGGGUCUAAUACCGGAUAGGAGCCAUUUUUAGUGUGAUGGUUGGAAAGUUUUUUCGGUGUAGGAUGAGCUCGCGGCCUAUCAGCUUGUUGGUGGGGUAAUGGCCUACCAAGGCGGCGACGGGUAGCCGGCCUGAGAGGGUGGACGGCCACAUUGGGACUGAGAGACGGCCCAGACUCCUACGGGAGGCAGCAGUGGGGAAUAUUGCACAAUGGGCGCAAGCCUGAUGCAGCGACGCCGCGUGGGGGAUGACGGCCUUCGGGUUGUAAACUCCUUUCGCUAGGGACGAAGCUUUUUGUGACGGUACCUAGAUAAGAAGCACCGGCUAACUACGUG
rnacentral:rRNA from 1 species